AUUGAACGCUGGCGGCGUGCUUAACACAUGCAAGUCGAACGAAGUGGCGAACGGGUGAGUAAUACGUGGGUAACCUGCCCUCCUUUUUGGGAUAAGCCUUGGAACCGGGGCCUAAUACCGAAUAAAGGGGGUUGGGCUCGGGGCCUAUCAGAUUGUUGGUGGGGUUUUGGCUUACCAAGGCGGUGUCGGGUAGCCGGCCUGAGAGGGUGACCGGCACCAAUGGGACGGGGAGACGGCCCAGACUGCUACAGGUGGCAGCUGUGGGGGAUAGUGCACAAGGGUCGAAAGGCUGAUGCGGCUACGUCGCGUGGGGGUUGAAGGCGUUAGGGUUGUAAACCUCUUGCGCUAUCGAACGGGUAGGUGUAGAAGAAGCGCCGGCUAACUACGUGCCAGCAGCCGCGGUAAUUC
rnacentral:rRNA from 1 species